CGCUGGGGGAGCUUUCGCUGAGAACCUGUGGAUGGCCGGAUAUCCGGCAAAAAACGGGGACCCUUGAACCUGAACCGGAUAAUACCGGCGUAGGAAAGCAGAGACAUUUU
rnacentral:ncRNA from 1 species